AAUUUCCAGAUGAACAGUGAGUUCCAAGCCGGAUCCUUAGGGCUUAGUGACAUCACUGCCGUCAGGAGGGCAAUGUCAAAACUCCGGAAUUACUGCCCGGAGCAGCAGAGGGUCCAGAGAACCUCCCUGCUGAGGCCAGGAGAGCGGAAAGAGAGAGGAUCUGGGACUCGCUGACCCUACUGUUUUCCGACACUGAAAAUUAGAGGGCACACAGGUGCUUUUUGGCAUCAAGUCAGGCCCAGCUGCAAGGCUUCAUGAGGCUUCACGUGGGCCUUUUAACUCAAAGCUACGAGGUUGAAAUGGGUUCUUCGGACCAGAACAUCUCUGAUGAAGCAGAUGGAUUUUGAAAAAAGAUGGAAGGCACCACUGAUGAAGAGAGAGGAGUUCAAAGGUUGGCAGAGGGAUUCAGAAAUUCAUCUGACUAAGAUGUCGACACAGAGCAGGAGACCCAAACGUGGUUGAUACCCAGCUACCUCCCAUCGCCUUUCUCACCUGGCUGGGGAAUGAAAAGGAAAUUCUGUCCUUGAUCUUUCUCACAGGCCUCUGCUGAUCCAAAGGCAAUAAAACAUACUUGGAACUUAA